rnacentral:rRNA from 1 species
UGUGUAGGUGGCGCCGUAAGUCGGGUGUGAAAUUUCGGAGCUUAACUCCGAAACUGCAUUCGAUACUGCGGUGCUUGAGGACUGGAGAGGAGACUGGAAUUCAUGGUGUAGCAGUGAAAUGCGUAGAGAUCGUGAGGAAGACCAGUGGCGAAGGCGGGUCUCUGGACAGUUCCUGACACUGAGACACGAAGGCCAGGGAGCAAACG